UUGAACGCUGGCGGCGUGCUUAACACAUGCAAGUCGAUCGGUAACGCGGGGGCAACCCUGGCGACGAGAGGCGGACGGGUGAGGAACGCUUGGGAAUCUGCCCUUCCGCGGGGGACAACCCGGGGCAACCCGGGCUAAUACCGCAUACGCUCCACGGCGGAAAGCCGGGGCCCGCAAGGCCUGGCACUGAAGGCUGAGCCCACGUCGGAUUAGCUAGUUGGCGGGGUAACGGCCCACCAAGGCGACGAUCCGUAGCUGGUCUGAGAGGACGAUCAGCCACACUGGGACGGAGACACGGCCCAGACGCCUACGGGAGGCAGCAGUGGGGAAUAUUGGACAAUGGGGGAAACCCUGAUCCAGCGACGCCGCGUGGGUGAAGAAGGCCUGCGGGUUGUAAAGCCCUUUCGGUAGGGACGAAAGCUCUCGACCUAACACGUCGGGAGGUUGACUUAACCUACAAAAGAAGCACCGGCUAACUCUGU
rnacentral:rRNA from 1 species